rnacentral:rRNA from 1 species
GACGAACUGUGCAAACGUUAUUCGGAAUCACUGGGCUUAAAGGGUGCGUAGGCGGUCUUGUAAGUAGGGUGUGAAAGCCCCCGGCUCAACCGGGGAACUGCGUCCUAAACUGCGAGGCUUGAGUGAGGCAGGGGUGUGUGGAACUUCCAGUGGAGCGGUGAAAUGUGUUGAUAUUGGAAGGAACGCCGGUGGCGAAAGCGACACACUGGGCCUUGUCUGACGCUGAGGCACGAAAGCCAGGGGAGCGAACGGG